rnacentral:rRNA from 1 species
UACGUAGGGGGCGAGCGUUGUCCGGAGUUACUGGGCGUAAAGCGCACGCAGGCGGUCUGCUAAGUUUGGAGUGACAGUUGGUGGCUUAACUGCCAAAGUGCUUCGAAAACUGACAGACUUGAGGGCUUCAGAGGGACACGGAAUUCCGGGUGGAGUGGUGAAAUGCGUAGAGACCCGGAGGAACACCAGUGGCGAAGGCGGCGUCCUGGCCUGCGACUGACGCUGUGGCGCGAAAGCUAGGGGAGCGAACGGG